rnacentral:rRNA from 1 species
CGUAUGUCUUAGAAGGUGUAUCGAGGGAAGCUUCCGCUCCGGAAAAGGGGGGAGGAGGUGGAACCGAUGCAAACGAAACGAAAUAAUUUACAACUUUUCAGCAACGGAUCUCUUGGCUCUCGCAUCGAUGAAGAACGCAGCGAAUUGCGAUAAGUAAUGUGAAUUGCAGAUUUCCAGUGAAUCAUCGAAUCUUUGAACGCACCUUGCGCUCCUUGGUAUUCCGAGGAGCAUGCCUGUUUGAGUGUCAU